rnacentral:rRNA from 1 species
GAUGAACGCUAGCGGCAGGCUUAAUACAUGCAAGUCGAGGGGCAGCAGGGGGUGUAGCAAUACACUCGCUGGCGACCGGCAAACGGGUGCGGAACACGUACGCAACCUACCCAAAACUGAUGAAUAGCCCUCCGAAAGGAGGAUUAAUACAUCGUAACAUAAUGAAGUGGCAUCACUUUAUUAUUAUAGCUCCGGCGGUUUUGGAUGGGCGUGCGCCUGAUUAGANAGUUGGC